CAAAGGAAUUGACGGGGCCCGCACAAGCGGUGGAGCAUGUGGUUUAAUUCGACGCAACGCGAAGAACCUUACCAGGGCUUGACAUCCCCUGACCGCGUAUGAAAGUACGUUUUCACCCUCGGGUGACAGGGAGACAGGUGGUGCAUGGUUGUCGUCAGCUCGUGUCGUGAGAUGUUGGGUUAAGUCCCGCAACGAGCGCAACCCCUACGUUUAGUUGCUAACGCGUGAAGGCGAGCACUCUAGACGAACUGCCGUUGACAAAACGGAGGAAGGUGGGGAUGACGUCAAAUCAUCAUGCCCCUUAUGUUCUGGGCUACACACGUGCUACAAUGGCCGGUACAGACGGACGCAAAGCCGCGAGGUGGAGCAAAUCCUAAAAAGCCGGUCUCAGUUCGGAUUGCAGGCUGCAAUUCGCCUGCAUGAAGUCGGAAUCGCUAGUAAUCGCAGGUCAGCAUACUGCGGUGAAUACGUUCCCGGGCCUU
rnacentral:rRNA from 1 species